UACGGAGGGUGCAAGCGUUAAUCGGAAUUACUGGGCGUAAAGCGCACGCAGGCGGCUUUUUAAGUCGGAUGUGAAAGCCCCGGGCUCAACCUGGGAAUUGCAUUCGAUACUGGGAAGCUAGAGUAUGUGAGAGGGGGGUAGAAUUCCAAGUGUAGCGGUGAAAUGCGUAGAGAUUUGGAGGAAUACCAGUGGCGAAGGCGGCCCCCUGGCACACUACUGACGCUCAGGUGCGAAAGCGUGGGGAGCAAACAGGAUUAGAUACCCUGGUAGUCCACGCCGUAAACGAUGUCUACUAGAUGUUCGAGGUCUUGUACUUUGAGUAUCGCAGCUAACGCAUUAAGUAGACCGCCUGGGGAGUACGGUCGCAAGAUUAAA
rnacentral:rRNA from 1 species